rnacentral:rRNA from 1 species
UACAGAGGUCUCAAGCGUUGUUCGGAAUCACUGGGCGUAAAGGGUGCGUAGGCCGCACGGUAAGUCAGAGGUGAAAUCCCGGAGCUCAACUUCGGAAUUGCCUCCGAUACUGCCGUGCUUGAGGACUGGAGAGGAGAUUGGAAUUCACAGUGGAGCAGUGAAAUGCGUAGAUAUUGUGAGGAACACUAGUGGCGAAGGUGAAUCUCUGGACAGUUCCUGACGCUGAGGAGCGAAAGCGUGGGGAGCGAACAGG